GACGUAGGGGGCCAGCGUUGUUCGGAAUUACUGGGUGUAAAGGGUUCGUAGGCGGUGUGGCAAGUCGGGAGUGAAAUCUCUGGGCUCAACUCAGAGACUGCUUCCGAAACUGCUGUGCUGGAGUGUGGGAGAGGCGCGUGGAAUUGCAGGUGUAGCGGUGAAAUGCGUAGAUAUCUGCAGGAACACCCGUGGCGAAAGCGGCGCGCUGGACCACUACUGACGCUGAGGAACGAAAGCCAGGGGAGCAAACGGG
rnacentral:rRNA from 1 species